ensembl:lncRNA
GGGAACAGUUACCAUGGAAACAUGUGGGCAGGCCAUUAUGCAUCCAUGCCCACCCCCCUCUAUUCCCUGGUGCCCCUUUCACUCUCAAGCAGUCAGUCUGCCCUCAGGGUCUGAUUUCUACAGGGGAUUUGACCUGUAGGUCCCUAUUCAAGGUGGAGGAUGAGAUCCUCAUGAGAUCCCUGGGGAGGCAGGGGCAGGGCAUCCAGGAGAGCACGUAUGACUGAGAAGACUAGAAGUUUCCCGAGACAGAACAAAAUAAGAAUCAUUUUUGUUUUUACACUUACAAGGCUCAGAAAGAAAAGACAAUGAAACUCAGCAAAAAGAAAGAAGAGAAAGUCAGAAAAGAGGAAAGAUCCCCUAGCAUUCAUGGAGCAGAGUGCUCAUCUUUCAUCAAGUUCUCUUCCUCAGGAUAGAUAGAUAUACACAUGCCAAAAGUUAUGUAUACCUAGCUAUCAAUAGAUUUAUAUGUUUUUUUUUUCUCUUUAGAGGUCAUGCAAAAAAAAAUUACCCCUCCUCCCUCCCCCCCCAAAUCCCCAAAUAACCCCAGACACGCAGCUCCAUAGUUAUAACAAGAUGACUGGUAAAGGAGAGUGAAGAGGCCCCAGGACACAAGAGGGUAGGAGGUGGGACAGGCUUUCCGUGGUCCCCUUUGCUGCCAAAUGCUGGGUCACACACGUUGUUAGGGGGCAAGCAGGACUGAUGGUCCUCUUACCCCAGAAGCUCCCAGCCCAGACUUGGCUCCAGGCAGGAAUGCCUAGUGUCCUCUAAUGGGGGGAACUUUUAUUCAGUCACUUAAAGAAUUAAGGGAAAACCCUGCCAGUCACAAGAUGGCAAUCUAGCAUCUUACAGUCAUUUUGUUGUUGAUUUUGAAAUGGGUAUCCAUUGUAGGGUUUGCCACUGAAAGAGCUUGUGUUCUAAAUCUCUUCUCCAUGGGCUCGGAGUUCUGUUCUACUCUCAAACAGGGACCACCUGAUAACCCAUCCCUCUUCCCCUUCUUUCCUCUCACUUCGCUUUAUUUAGAGGGAAAGAAAAAGAAAUUACACUUAAAUUAAAAGUGAAUUGCUAGGGGGGUGUCUGAGUGGCUUCUAAGGAUGGGGCAAAAAGGUGGCCAGUGAGGGAUGCCUCUUAGCUCAGGAUUAAAUUCAAUUGAUUUAAUCCAAUUUGUAGUUCCUUUGAGUUAAUUGAUUCCAGAUCUUCUCCCCUCCUACUCUGUCCUCAACCCUCUGGUGCCCCUGUCUUAGCAACUCUGUCCCUCCCAACCUCCAUCAUCUGAUUAUUCCAUCAAACAGCAUUAUUCCGUUAUAUAAUUUCCAUCCAUCUGUUGGGGCACCUUGCCAACUCAUUCUUCCCCAGAAGAGAACACAUACAAACUAAAUGGGAAAAUCAGGCCCAGAUAGAGGGAAAACCCCAUCUAAUGAGAGCUACACAUAGCCCCCUUUCCUAAACAUGGAAAAUUAAGGCAUUACCCUAGCCUCUUCUCUAGUUCACCAUCCAUCCAUCCAUCCAUUCAUCCAUCCAUCCAUCCAUGCAUCUGGUCAUCCAUUCAUCAUUAGGCCCUUUUAGGUUAUGUUUUCAAGUUAUCUACAAACUUCAAACUCCUUUAUGAGCUCAGUUCCAGACUGUUUCUCCCUCCAGGAAAUCUCCUUUCUCAUGAUCCAAGUAAUGUGGUCAGGGCUUACCCCUUAACCUCUAAAAAGUGUCCACCAAUUCUAUCACCCACUCACAAGAGGUACAUCAAAAUACAACAGUGCCUCAACCAGCUCAAGUGUAUGCUCAACAUUAGGAAUACAUUUGGGUUGGGAGGGGUGAAAGGAGUUAGGAAGUUUAACCUCUACCUCAUCCAGAGAUCUGCAGGUGGUUCAGGGAAAAGAAAGGAGUCUGAAGGGAUUGAAUUGCAGUUAGAGGAUGAAGGAAUUGCUGGGAUCCCUAGUGCCAAAGGAGAUUUCUGGCAAAAUAGCUUUCUCAAUUUUCUGUGAGAUAAAAUGGAAGUCUAUGUAACAAAUAUUUACAAUCAUUCCAAAGGGCCUUUAUGACUGUGCUGUAGUAAUGAAUGAAGUUUGCUGGUUGUGUGGAAAGGAGAGAGUUAAUACCUGAUCCUGAUUGCUGGCUUCCUAGGUAUACCACCUGCUUGUGCCUUGAGACUCCAAUGAACAAAAUGAACAAUAUCAUUCAAACGGUGAUACCUUCUGUCUGAACAUGAUUUUUAAUCUUUUUGGAGAUGAUAUCUAUUCCAUCCUUACCAGACUGUACUUCACUCUUCAAUUUAAAACUCCCCAGGAUGUAUGUUUUUAAUUAAAAACAUGUUGCAGUAUCUGAAAAGCACAUUUUGAAAUCAUUGCUCAAGCCCAUGUAUGAAUAUGGACAUUUUUAUGAUCAAAAGCAUUUCUGUAUAUGUGUAUGUAUGUAUGUAUGUACAUUUAUAUGCAUGUGGGUUGAUAUUAAAGUGAUCAAUAUCCCAGGAACUAACUCAAACUGAGUUUCUGUGAACACUUUGCUCAUAGAGGUGCCCGUGGCCCCUAGGAGUAGAGCCUUUGACUUACCCUGGGAGCAAAGAAUGUAGAGAUGUAGCCUAUGUAUUUGUUUUUUGUUUUGUUCAUAGAUGAUUGAAAUGAGUGUCAGGAAUAGUUCCUUCACCCCUGCUGUCAAGUUUCCAGCCUAUUGCUUUAGACUCAUUUGUUCUAAGACAUGGGGAGAGCCUUCUUGGUCAAAGGAAGCCCGGCUGGUUCAAACUUUGGGGUCUUUAAAGAAUAAUGAAAUAGGGUGCAGUAAACAACCCACCCUCAUUUCCUUUCAAACGCUAAAAGGCCAUGUGGACCUGAAGGUGGUCACUGCAGUCUCUAGUAGCCCAGAAUCACUUGGUAAUCUAGGUUCAAAGGACCUCCGUUUUGGUCCAUCCAAGGGUCAGGUUGCACUCUAGGGUGGGCAUAAGAAUCACAGACCCUUCCAGACCCUUCGUUUUACUGUAGAGUACUUCUGAGAAUCUCUGAAUCAGAGAUGAGCUAGACCAGGUUGGACUCCUCUGAGAACGGCAGAUGGCACGGCAUCCAAGGCUACUUCCUUACACCGUGUUUCUCACUCCUGGUGCUCAUAGCUCCGCAUCAAUAGCCAGGGAAGGACUGCCAUAGUUAAACUAUGCCACCUGAUGGCUUUCAACCUGUCACACCUGAGAUCCCUCUCUUUCCUUCUACACUUAACUUCUGGCCCAUACUUCAUCACUCCCACAAAACUUUCUUCAAACAGCUAUCUGUUUUCUUCUCCAGUGCAGAUGGCCACCAAAAAAUACUUCCAUUGAGUUAAGGAUGGCACUUUGCAUGGCAAGGAGGAAAACUCUCCUGCAAAACUAACCCCCCUUCUCCUAAAAAAGUCUCUGGCCUAGGCAAAAGUAGUUAUUGGAUAGAUGGACUCUCACUGGAUCAGCUAAGGGAUUGCUAUACCAAAUAGGUUGGGUAAAGGAUGGGACCAGAAUUCACCAUCAACAGUUCAAUCAGCCCACCAACUGUCCCAAGUCUGGGGCACUCAUCCCUGAGCAACUCAACAUUUUUAGUCAAAGAGAAUCAAUUCUCUCCAUUAUCAGCCAUCCCCCCACCCCCCACCCCC